rnacentral:rRNA from 1 species
UACGCUAGCGGCGUGCUUCCACAUGCAGUCGAACGGAAAAGAGUACAUCUUUUCAGUGGCGGACGGGUGAGUAUUAAGAAUUUGCCCUUAUGGCAGAGGAUAACAAUUAGAAAUAAUUGCUAAAACUCUAUAUGUUGGAAACAAUGAAAAAAGAAAUUUGCCUAAGGAGAAGCUCACAUUUGAUUGGCUAGUUGGUAGGGUAAGAGCCUACCAAGGNCGACAGAUCAACUAGAUUGUGAUCUGACGACGGACCGAACUCACGCCACACAUGGAGAACUGACGACACGUGUCCAGAACUCCAUACGUGGACGGCAUGCAGAUGAGAGAACUAUUCCAGCACAUGGCGCGACAAGCCAUGACGGAAGCAACGCCUGCGUGAGGGAUGAAGGCCUACGGGUUGUAAACCUCUUUUACCAAGGAGGAAGAUCUGACGUUACUUGGAGAAUAAGCAUCGGCUAACCCUGUGCCAGCAGCCGCGGUAAUACAAGGGGAUGCAAAGUGUAAUCCCGGAUUCAUUGGGCGUAAAACGUCUACAGGUAGAUAUAUAA